AUUAGGAGGUUUCUUCUUUGUUUCGGUAGCGCGUGCACUCAGUGCUUCUUGUAGCGCCGCUUCCAACAUAUAUCCAUCAUAUUCUCUUUGAAGAAAUUUAUUUUUCAUUUCACUGAGUGCACACGCUACCGAAACAAAGAAGAAACCUCCUAAU